UACGUAGGCAGCAAGCGUUGUUCGGAGUUACUGGGCGUAAAGGGUGCGUAGGCGGCUUUUUAAGUUUGGUGUGAAAUCUCCCGGCUCAACUGGGAGGGUGCGCCGAAUACUGAGAGGCUAGAGUGUGGGAGAGGAAAGUGGAAUUCCUGGUGUAGCGGUGAAAUGCGUAGAUAUCGGGAGGAACACCUGUGGCGAAAGCGGCUCACUGGACCAUAACUGACGCUGAUGCACGAAAGCUGGGGGGGAGCAAACAGG
rnacentral:rRNA from 1 species